AGUGAACGCUGGCGGUAGGCCUAACACAUGCAAGUCGAACGGCAGCACAGUAAGAGCUUGCUCUUACGGGUGGCGAGUGGCGGACGGGUGAGGAAUACAUCGGAAUCUACUUUUUCGUGGGGGAUAACGUAGGGAAACUUACGCUAAUACCGCAUACGACCUACGGGUGAAAGCAGGGGAUCUUCGGACCUUGCGCGAUUGAAUGAGCCGAUGUCGGAUUAGCUAGUUGGCGGGGUAAAGGCCCACCAAGGCGACGAUCCGUAGCUGGUCUGAGAGGAUGAUGAGCCACACUGGAACUGAGACACGGUCCAGACUCCUACGGGAGGCAGCAGUGGGGAAUAUUGGACAAUGGGCGCAAGCCUGAUCCAGCCAUACCGCGUGGGUGAAGAAGGCCUUCGGGUUGGAAAGCCCUUUUGUUGGGAAAGAAAAGCAGCAGGUUAAUACCCCGCUGUUCUGACGGUACCCAAAGAAUAAGCACCGGCUAACUUCGUG
rnacentral:rRNA from 1 species